GAUGAACGCUGGCGGCGUGCUUAACACAUGCAAGUCGAACGAAGAUGCCGGAGUGCUUGCACUUUGGCAGACUGAGUGGCGGACGGGUGAGUAACGCGUGGGUAACCUGCCUUAUACAGGGGGAUAACAGUUGGAAACGACUGCUAAUACCGCAUAAGCGCACGGUAUCGCAUGAUACAGUGUGAAAAACUCCGGUGGUCUGGGAUGGACCCGCGUCCGAUUAGUUAGUUGGCGGGGUAACGGCCCACCAAGACCGCGAUCGGUAGCCGACCUGAGAGGGUGACCGGCCACACUGGAACUGAGACACGGUCCAGACUCCUACGGGAGGCAGCAGUGGGGAAUCUUCCGCAAUGGGCGAAAGCCUGACGGAGCAACGCCGCGUGAGUGAUGACGGCCUCGGUGUAAGCUCUGUGAUCGGGACGAACGGUCCGUAA
rnacentral:rRNA from 1 species